rnacentral:rRNA from 1 species
GACGAACGCUGGCGGCGCGCCUAACACAUGCAAGUCGAACGGAGCGGUGAGAGAAGAACCCUUCGGGGCAAUUCAUUCACAAGCUUAGUGGCGAACGGGUGAGUAACACGUGAGUAACCUACCUUAGAGCGGGGGACAACAUCUGGAAACGGAUGCUAAUACCGCAUAAGACCACGGUGUCGCAUGGCACAGUGGCCAAAGGAUUUAUCCACUUUAAGAUGGACUCGCGCCCGAUUAGAUAGUUGGUGAGGUAACGGCUCACCAAGUCGACGAUCGGUAGCCGGACUGAGAGGUUGAACGGCCACAUUGGGACUGAGACACGGCCCAGACUCCUACGGGAGGCAGCAGUGGGGAAUAUUGCACAAUGGGCGAAAGCCUGAUGCAGCGACGCCGCGUGAGGGAAGAAGGUUUUCGGAUUGUAAACCUCUGUCUUCGGGGACGAUAAUGACGGUACCCGAGGAGGAAGCCACGGCUAACUACGUGCCAGCCGCCGCCGUAAUAC